UGGGCAACCUGCCCCUAGCUCCGGAAUAACCCCGGGAAACCGAGGCUAAUACCGGAUACGACCCUGCGCGGCAUCUCGCGGGGUGGAAAGUUUUUCGGCUAGGGAUGGGCCCGCGACCUAUCAGCUUGUUGGUGGGGUAACGCCUACCAAGGCGACGACGGGUAGCCGGCCUGAGAGGGCGACCGGCCACACUGGGACUGAGACACGGCCCAGACUCCGUACGGGAG
rnacentral:rRNA from 1 species